rnacentral:rRNA from 1 species
UACGUAGGGACCGAGCGUUGUCCGGAAUUAUUGGGCGUAAAGAGCGUGUAGGCGGCUUGCUAAGUCUUGCGUGAAAUCUCGGGGCUCAACCCCGAGCGGUCGUGGGAAACUGGCAGGCUAGAGUGCGGGAGAGGAGAAUGGAAUUCCUGGUGUAGCGGUGAAAUGCGUAGAUAUCGGAAGGAACACCAGUGGCGAAGGCGGCUUCCUGGACUAGUACUGACGCUGAGGUGCGAAAGCGUGGGGAGCAAACAGG